UGCUGACGAUUUUGAUGAUGACGAUGAUGAUGACGAUGAAUUUAAUAAUGAUCAAAGAAUUUAUUCAUCGAAAUCAACAACAACAUUAUCAACUGUA
rnacentral:pre_miRNA from 1 species